ACGGGAGGCAGCAGUGAGGAAUAUUGGUCAAUGGACGAGAGUCUGAACCAGCCAAGUAGCGUGCAGGAUGACGGCCCUAUGGGUUGUAAACUGCUUUUGUACGGGAAUAAAGUGACCUACGUGUAGGUUUUUGCAUGUACCGUAAGAAUAAGGACCGGCUAAUUCCGUGCCAGCAGCCGCGGUAAUACGGAAGGUCCGGGCGUUAUCCGGAUUUAUUAGGUUUAAAGGGUGCGCAGGCGGGACAUUAAGUCGGUGGUGAAAUACCGUAGCUCAACUACGGGGCUGCCAUCGAUACUGAUGACCUUGAGUGCGGAUGAGGAAGGCGGAAUGUGGCGUGUAGCGGUGAAAUGCUUAGAUAUGCCACAGAACACCGAUUGCGAAGGCAGCUUUCCAAUGCGUAACUGACGCUCAUGCACGAAAGCGCGGGUAGCGAACAGGAUUAGAUACCCUGGUA
rnacentral:rRNA from 1 species